rnacentral:lncRNA from 1 species
CUCUUUCCUCGGAGGAAACUUUCCGCCCGCUGGUCUGUCGCGGUGUCCGACAGCACCGCCGCACGAACCCGGUAAGGCGGACGGGGCGGCCCGGCCCCGGUAUAUGCGGCGACCGGGAAGACACCAGUGCCGGAGCCAGGCUGCGGGACGCUGACGGGGUGGAGCAGCUACGGGAGGAGCGAGCGCCUUGUGCCCUGGAGGACCUGACCUGGGUAACCUCGCAGGCUGACAGGCGAGCUGCGCCACAGCAGCAUGGAUGCCCCGAGAAGGGACAUGGAGCUACUCAGCAACAGCCUUGCAGCCUAUGCGCACAUCCGAGCAUCUCCUGCGCACCUCGUUCGCGGCCCCGGACCCCUGCCCCGCACCGGGACCCUCGCAGUAGCACCCUAGAGCCGGAAGACGAGGACGACGAGGAUGAGGACACCAUGACCAGGCUGGGUCCGGAUGACACCCUGCAGGGCCAGGAGCUGUCCACAGAACCCGACGGGCCCCUUAGCGUCAAUGUCUUCACGUCAGCAGAGGAGCUAGAGCGGGCACAGCGGCUGGAGGAGCGUGAACGAAUCCUGCGGGAGAUCUGGCGCACUGGGCAGCCAGACCUGUUGGGCAGCGGCACUCUCGGGCCCGGAGCCACGGCCACGUUGGGCCGAAUGCACUAUUACUGACACCCGGUCCCACAGAGUGGGGCCAGAGUACUGGAUACAGGACUGCCUCAGGGCUUUCAAACUGCCUCUGCCCCAACUCUCUUGGUGCUAUUGGGCAUUGGAUCGCCACCUACUAAGCACUCUUCGUGGGGCAGGUGUGGGUGGGAACAGAAUGCCAGCUCCCACCUUUUCCCGAUAAUAAUGACCAAUGAAAGGUAAUCUCAGCGA